rnacentral:rRNA from 2 species
ACGCUGGCGGCGUGCCUAAUACAUGCAAGUCGAACGAACUCUGGUAUUGAUUGGUGCUUGCAUCAUGAUUUACAUUUGAGUGAGUGGCGAACUGGUGAGUAACACGUGGGAAACCUGCCCAGAAGCGGGGGAUAACACCUGGAAACAGAUGCUAAUACCGCAUAACAACUUGGACCGCAUGGUCCGAGUUUGAAAGAUGGCUUCGGCUAUCACUUUUGGAUGGUCCCGCGGCGUAUUAGCUAGAUGGUGAGGUAACGGCUCACCAUGGCAAUGAUACGUAGCCGACCUGAGAGGGUAAUCGGCCACAUUGGGACUGAGACACGGCCCAAACUCCUACGGGAGGCAGCAGUAGGGAAUCUUCCACAAUGGACGAAAGUCUGAUGGAGCAACGCCGCGUGAGUGAAGAAGGGUUUCGGCUCGUAAAACUCUGUUGUUAAAGAAGAACAUAUCUGAGAGUAACUGUUCAGGUAUUGACGGUAUUUAACCAGAAAGCCACGGCUAACUACGUGCCAGCAGCCGCGGUAAUACGUAGGUGGCAAGCGUUGUCCGGAUUUAUUGGGCGUAAAGCGAGCGCAGGCGGUUUUUUAAGUCUGAUGUGAAAGCCUUCGGCUCAACCGAAGAAGUGCAUCGGAAACUGGGAAACUUGAGUGCAGAAGAGGACAGUGGAACUCCAUGUGUAGCGGUGAAAUGCGUAGAUAUAUGGAAGAACACCAGUGGCGAAGGCGGCUGUCUGGUCUGUAACUGACGCUGAGGCUCGAAAGUAUGGGUAGCAAACAGGAUUAGAUACCCUGGUAGUCCAUACCGUAAACGAUGAAUGCUAAGUGUUGGAGGGUUUCCGCCCUUCAGUGCUGCAGCUAACGCAUUAAGCAUUCCGCCUGGGGAGUACGGCCGCAAGGCUGAAACUCAAAGGAAUUGACGGGGGCCCGCACAAGCGGUGGAGCAUGUGGUUUAAUUCGAAGCUACGCGAAGAACCUUACCAGGUCUUGACAUACUAUGCAAAUCUAAGAGAUUAGACGUUCCCUUCGGGGACAUGGAUACAGGUGGUGCAUGGUUGUCGUCAGCUCGUGUCGUGAGAUGUUGGGUUAAGUCCCGCAACGAGCGCAACCCUUAUUAUCAGUUGCCAGCAUUAAGUUGGGCACUCUGGUGAGACUGCCGGUGACAAACCGGAGGAAGGUGGGGAUGACGUCAAAUCAUCAUGCCCCUUAUGACCUGGGCUACACACGUGCUACAAUGGAUGGUACAACGAGUUGCGAACUCGCGAGAGUAAGCUAAUCUCUUAAAGCCAUUCUCAGUUCGGAUUGUAGGCUGCAACUCGCCUACAUGAAGUCGGAAUCGCUAGUAAUCGCGGAUCAGCAUGCCGCGGUGAAUACGUUCCCGGGCCUUGUACACACCGCCCGUCACACCAUGAGAGUUUGUAACACCCAAAGUCGGUGGGGUAACCUUUUAGGAACCAGCCGCCUAAGGUGGG